UACGGAGGAGGCAAGCGUUAUCCGGAAUUAUUGGGCGUAAAGCGUCCGUAGGUGGUUGGCCAAGUCUGCUGUCAAAGGGUGGGGCUUAACCUCAUAAAGGCAGUGGAAACUGGCGAGCUAGAGUGCGGUAGGGGUAGGGGGAAUUCCCAGUGUAGCGGUGAAAUGCGUAGAGAUUGGGAAGAACAUCGGUGGCGAAAGCGCCCUGCUGGGCCUGCUCUGACACUGAGGGACGAAAGCUAGGGGAGCGGUAGGG
rnacentral:rRNA from 1 species